AGAGUUUGAUUAUGGCUCAGGAUGAACGCUAGCGGCAGGCCUAAUACAUGCAAGUCGAACGGUAAACGCCCUUCGGGGGUGUGAGAGUGGCGCACGGGUGCGUAACGCGUAUGCAACCCACCCGCUGCCGGGGGAUAGCCCGGAGAAAUCCGAAUUAAUACCCCAUGAGGAGGAGAUGAGGCAUCUCAUCUUUUUCAAAACUUCGGUGGCGGCGGACGGGCAUGCGUGCCAUUAGAUAGUUGCGGGGUGACGGCCCACCAAGUCGACGAUGGCUAGGGGAUCUGAGAGGACGGUCCCCCACACUGGUACUGAGACACGGACCAGACUCCUACGGGAGGCAGCAGUAAGGGAUAUUGGUCAAUGGGGGGAACCCUGAACCAGCCAAUGCCGCGUGAGGGAAUAAGGCCCUACGGGUCGUAAACCUCUUUUGCCGGGGGAUAAGGACACCUACGUGUAGGUGUUUGAAGGUACCCGGAGAAUAAGCAUCGGCUAACUCCGUGCCAGCAGCUGC
rnacentral:rRNA from 1 species